AUAUAUGUAUAUAUGAGAAGUACAAAGUAUUCACAGAUACCCUCUUUAAAAAAUAUUAUUUUCUGUAUGUUUUGCGAUUGUUGCUUUGUUUCGUCGCACAUCGCUAUACGAUUUUAGUUGAAAUUUCAUUUAAUGUUCUCAUAGAAGUGAAUAAUGUAUUCUUUUUGAGAAUAAAAUUUCU